rnacentral:lncRNA from 1 species
UUUAGAAUUUGGUUAGGAUUUGAUUUAAGAUUUAAGAUUUAGGGUUAGGAUUUGGUUAGGAUUUGAUUUGGGAUUAGGAUUUGGUUUAAGAUUUAGGAUUUGGUUAGGAUUUGGUUAAGAUUUGAUUUAGGAUUUAGGGUUUGGUUUAAGGUUUAAGGUUUGAUUAGGAUUUGAUUUAGGGUUUAGGAUUUGAUUAGGAUUUGAUUUAGGAUUUGAUUUAGAGUUUGAUUAGGAUUUGGUUUAGGAUUUUGGAUUUUAUUAGGGUUUGUUUAGAAUUUAAGAUUUAGUUAAUUUUUGGCCUAAAGUUUGAAUGAAGUCCAAUAGGAUUUUAACUAGGAUUAAAUUAAGAUUGAAUUGAGAUAUAUUUAAAAUAUAUUUGUGAUCAUUCUAAUAUUUCUUUAAUAUUUUUUAUUAUUUCUUUGUAAUUCCUUUGAAGUUUCUUUGAAUUUGAUUAAAGCUUGCUUAAUA